rfam:Gasterosteus aculeatus cont1.002764, whole genome shotgun sequence.
UUUAAAGUGUAAUGUAAGUCGCUUUGGAUAAAAGCGUCAGCUAAAUGACAUCUA